rnacentral:rRNA from 1 species
GAUGAACGCUGGCGGCGUGCCUAAUACAUGCAAGUCGAGCGAACAGACGAGGAGCUUGCUCCUCUGACGUUAGCGGCGGACGGGUGAGUAACACGUGGAUAACCUACCUAUAAGACUGGGAUAACUUCGGGAAACCGGAGCUAAUACCGGAUAAUAUAUUGAACCGCAUGGUUCAAUAGUGAAAGACGGUUUUGCUGUCACUUAUAGAUGGAUCCGCACCGCAUUAGCUAGUUGGUAAGGUAACGGCUUACCAAGGCAACGAUGCGUAGCCGACCUGAGAGAGUGAUCGGCCACACUGGAACGGAGACACGGUCCAGACUCCUACGGGAGGCAGCAGUAGGGAAUCUUCCGCAAUGGGCGAAAGCCUGACGGAGCAACGCCGAGUGAGUGAUGAAGGUCUUCGGAUCGUAAAACUCUGUUAUUAGGGAAGAACAAAUGUGUAAGUAACUAUGCACGUCUUGACGGUACCUAAUCAGAAAGCCACGGCUAACUACGUG